UACGUAGGCAGCGAGCGUUGUUCGGAGUUACUGGGCGUAAAGGGUGCGUAGGCGGUUGUUUAAGUUUGGUGUGAAAUCUCCCGGCUCAACCGCAAGCGGUCGUGGGAAACUGGGUGGCUAGAGUGCGGGAGAGGAGAGUGGAAUUCCUGGUGUAGCGGUGGAAUGCGCAGAUAUCAGGAAGAACACCCGUGGCGAAGGCGGCUCUCUGGAACGCAACUGACGCUGAGACGCGAAAGCGUGGGGAGCAAACAGG
rnacentral:rRNA from 1 species